rnacentral:rRNA from 1 species
UUUCCAGAGAUGGAUUGGUGCCUUCGGGAACUGUGAGACAGGUGCUGCAUGGCUGUCGUCAGCUCGUGUUGUGAAAUGUUGGGUUAAGUCCCGCAACGAGCGCAACCCUUAUCCUUUGUUGCCAGCGAUUAGGUCGGGAACUCAAAGGAGACUGCCAGUGAUAAACUGGAGGAAGGUGGGGAUGACGUCAAGUCAUCAUGGCCCUUACGACCAGGGCUACACACGUGCUACAAUGGCGCAUACAAAGAGAAGCGACCUCGCGAGAGCAAGCGGACCUCAUAAAGUGCGUCGUAGUCCGGAUUGGAGUCUGCAACUCGACUCCAUGAAGUCGGAAUCGCUAGUAAUCGUGGAUCAGAAUGCCACGGUGAAUACGUUCCCGGGCCUUGUACACACCGCCCGUCACACCAUGGGAGUGGGUUGCAAAAGAAGUAGGUAGCUUAACCUUCGGGAGGGCGCUUACCACUUUGUGAUUCAUGACUGGGGUGAAGUCGUAACAAGGUAACCGUAGGGGAACCUGCGGUUGGAUCACCUCCUUACCUGAAAGAA